GCAUAUUUUUCAAAGAAUUCCAAAAGUUACAUCUCCACUUAGGGUGCGUGGUGGCCUUACUGGACUUUACUCAUACUUAUCGAAAGCUGUCCCUCGCUGCCAUGGGGAGAAGCUUCAGCUCCUGGUACCUCAUCUACCAGGAGUCAUGCCAUGGCUGUACACUUGUGCAUACAUCAGAGUGCAACAAUAAGGUCUAUGCAGGAUCCCACAAAACCGCAAGAGCCUCCAUAGAUCAUGUCUCGCUAUGAACAAGAUGAUGCCUGAUUCCUUUUGCUGUCGUUUGCAAUGGCUGUUGGGAUUUUGGGGAAAAAAAUCAAACGC